GAUGAACGCUGGCGGCGUGCCUAAUACAUGCAAGUCGAGCGAACAGACGAGGAGCUUGCUCCUUUGACGUUAGCGGCGGGCGGGUGAGUAACACGUGGGUAACCUACCUAUAAGACUGGGAUAAAUUCGGGAAACCGGAUAUUAUACCGGAUAAUAUUUCGAACCGCAUGGUUCGAUAGUGAAAGAUAGCUUUGCUAUUACUUAUAGAUGGACCUUCGCCGUAUUAGCUAGUUGGUAAGGUAACGGCUUACCAAGGCAACGAUACGUAGCCGACCUGAGAGGGGGAUCGGCCACACUGGAACUGAGACACGGUCCAGACUCCUACGGGAGGCAGCAGUAGGGAAUCUUCCGCAAUGGGCGAAAGCCUGACGGAGCAACGCCGCGGGAGUGAUGAAGGUCUUCGGACCGUAAAACUCUGUUAUUAGGGAAGAACAAUCGUGUAAGUAACUGUGCACGUCGUGACGGUACCUAAUCAGAAAGCCACGGCUAACUACGUG
rnacentral:rRNA from 1 species